rnacentral:antisense_RNA from 1 species
GCCAUCUUUGUUAAGGGAGAGUGGGCCUGUCUCAUCCAUUGAAUUCACAAAAGAAAAGGGGCGUGAGGGAGGAGAUCUUUAGCUGCAAAGACAGAGACUCUAACACGCCUAACAAAGGCCCAGAGAUCCGAUCCAGACACAGAGCAAGGCAGAGACCCAGAGAGGUUGGAUGAGGCAAUAAGAGAGCUGGGAGGAGAGGGAGAGUGGGGAAAGUGAAGGAUACUUUUUUUUCGGACAGUUACAGAGUCAUAGAGACCCAGAGAAAAGCAGAGAUAUAAACGAGACCAAAACGGUGGGAUUGAGAAUGUGCAAGACUGGAGUGCAGCGCGAUCUCGGCUCACUGCAACCUCUGCCUCCCGGGUUCAAAUGAUUCUCCUGCCUCAGUCUCCCGAGUAGCUGGGAUUACAGUAUGAGGAUCUUGGCUUUUAGAUGGUCCCUUACCUGGUCCUGCUGCUCCUCUGUUUCAAGGUGUCCAUUCAUCUGCUGGUCCU